rnacentral:rRNA from 1 species
GACGAACGCUGGCGGCGUGCUUAACACAUGCAAGUCGAACGGUAAGGCCCUUCGGGGUACACGAGUGGCGAACGGGUGAGUAACACGUGGGUGAUCUGCCCUGCACUUCGGGAUAAGCCUGGGAAACUGGGUCUAAUACCGGAUAGGACCACUGCCCGCAUGGGUGGUGGUGGAAAGCUUUUGCGGAGUGGGAUGGGCCCGCGGCCUAUCAGCGUGUUGGUGGGGUGAUGGCCUACCAAGGGGACGACGGGUGGCCGGCCUGAGAGGGUGACCGGCCACCCUGGGACUGAGAUACGGCCCAGACUCCUACGGGAGGCAGCAGUGGGGAAUAUUGCACAAUGGGCGCAAGCCUGAUGCAGCGACGCCGCGUGAGGGAUGACGGCCUUCGGGUUGUAAACCUCUUUCAGCACCGACGAAGCGCAAGUGACGGUAGGUGCAGAAGAAGGACCGGCCAACUACGUGCCAGCAGCCGCAGUAA